rnacentral:lncRNA from 1 species
CUUAGAGUUUACAACCUUUAUCUGUUUGCAACACUGGAAAGGGUAAUUCAUGACAACUUGAAACCAGAUAAACAUAACUCCUAAGCUGUCCAGUUUUACAGUGAAAUAUUGGGUGUGGAAAAGCCAUAGUGACAAAAGAGAAAAUUGGCUAUGAAGGGAGAAUCACAAGUCCUUAUUACCCAAGCUAUUACCCUCCAAAAUGUCUUUGUGCGUGGAACUUCCAGACUCCACAGAAGAACCUUGGUAUAGCUCUGAAGUUUCAUAACUAUACCAUCAGUGAGAAGAAUAUUAAAGGCUGUGAGCGAGG